rnacentral:rRNA from 1 species
UACGUAGGUAGCAAGCGUUGUUCGGAAUUACUGGGCGUAAAGAGUGUGUAGGCGGUGCUCCAAGUCUGGUGUGAAAUCUCCCGGCUUAACUGGGAGGGUGCAUUAGAAACUGGAAUGCUAGAGGAUGGGAGAGGUAAGCGGAAUUCCUGGUGUAGCGGUGAAAUGCGUAGAUAUCAGGAGGAACACCUGUGGUGUAGACAGCUUACUGGACCAUUUCUGACGCUGAGACACGAAAGCGUGGGUAGCAAACAGG